UCAUUUUCACUAUUCUAGUAGGAUUUUAAUAGUUCUUUUAGGUUGCACUAGGAUGCGAAAGAAUACAAAUACAAAUCCCUGCACUCUCUGUCUGUCUUUGUGGCGGGUCCAGAUUGAAUGAGGAAUUACAUAG